GAAAACUUGGAAGAGCUCAUGAUUUGAAGCAUACCACAUCAUCUAAAAAACACAUUGAGGCAGUUUGAAGGCAUGAACAUGCAUGGCUUCAGACAAUGACCCCAAACAUAUUGCAGAAGCAACCCAAGAUUUCCUUAAGGCAAAGAAGUAAAAUAUUUUGCAAUGGCCAUGUCAAUCACCUGAUCUCAACAUGUUCGAGCAUGCAGUUUACUUGAAGACAAAACUGAAGGCAGAAAGUCCCCCAAACAAACAAAAACUGAAGACAGCUGCAGUAAAGGAAUGG